GAUGAACGCUGGCGGCGUGCCUAAUACAUGCAGGUCGAGCGAACAGAUAAGGAGCUUGCUCCUUUGACGUUAGCGGCGGACGGGUGAGUAACACGUGGGUAACCUACCUAUAAGACUGGGAUAACUUCGGGAAACCGGAGCUAAUACCGGAUAACAUUUGGAACCGCAUGGUUCUAAAGUGAAAGAUGGUUUUGCUAUCACUUAUAGAUGGACCCGCGCCGUAUUAGCUAGUUGGUAAGGUAACGGCUUACCAAGGCGACGAUACGUAGCCGACCUGAGAGGGUGAUCGGCCACACUGGAACUGAGACACGGUCCAGACUCCUACGGGAGGCAGCAGUAGGGAAUCUUCCGCAAUGGGCGAAAGCCUGACGGAGCAACGCCGCGUGAGUGAUGAAGGGUUUCGGCUCGUAAAACUCUGUUAUUAGGGAAGAACAAAUGUGUAAGUAACUGUGCACGUCUUGACGGUACCUAAUCAGAAAGCCACGGCUAACUACGUG
rnacentral:rRNA from 1 species